GACGAACGCUGGCGGCGUGCUUAACACAUGCAAGUCGAACGGAAAGGCCCUGCUUUUGUGGGGUGCUCGAGUGGCGAACGGGUGUGUAACACGUGAGUAACCUGCCCUUGACUUUGGGAUAACUUCAGGAAACUGGGGCUAAUACCGGAUAGGAGCUCCUGCUGCAUGGUGGGGGUUGGAAAGUUUCGGCGGUUGGGGAUGGACUCGCGGCUUAUCAGCUUGUUGGCGGGGUAGUGGCUUACCAAGGCUUUGACGGGUAGCCGGCCUGAGAGGGUGACCGGCCACAUUGGGACUGAGAUACGGCCCAGACUCCUACGGGAGGCAGCAGUGGGGAAUAUUGCACAAUGGGCGGAAGCCUGAUGCAGCAACGCCGCGUGCGGGAUGACGGCCUUCGGGUUGUAAACCGCUUUCGCCUGUGACGAAGCGUGAGUGACGGUAAUGGGUAAAGAAGCACCGGCUAACUACGU
rnacentral:rRNA from 1 species